UGGGGGAUAUUGCACAAUGGGCGAAAGCCUGAUGCAGCGACGCCGCGUGGGGGAUGAAGGCUUUCGGGUUGUAAACCUCUUUCGCUAUCGAACAAGGCCCGCUUAGGGUGGGUUGAGGGUAGGUGGAGAAGAAGCGCCGGCUAACUACGUGCCAGCAGCCGCGGUAAUACGUAGGGCGCGAGCGUUGUCCGGAAUUAUUGGGCGUAAAGGGCUUGUAGGCGGGUUGUUGCGCCUGCUGUGAAAACGCGGGGCUUAACUUCGCGCGUGCAGUGGGUACGGGCAGGCUUGAGUGUGGUAGGGGUGACUGGAAUUCCAGGUGUAGCGGUGGAAUGCGCAGAUAUCUGGAGGAACACCGAUGGCGAAGGCAGGUCACUGGGCCAUUACUGACGCUGAGGAGCGAAAGCAUGGGUAGCGAACAGG
rnacentral:rRNA from 1 species